rnacentral:rRNA from 1 species
CCCUUAGAUGUUCUGGGCCGCACGCGUGCUACACUGAGUGGAUCAGCGGGUCAGGUUGCGCGAAAGCGUUUCCUAAUCUUUAGAUCCGCUCGUGAUGGGGAUUGACGGUUGCAAUUUUCUGUCAUGAACGAGGAAUACCUUGUAAGCGCGGGUCAUCAUCCCGCGCUGAAUACGUCCCUGCCCUUUGUACACACCGCCCGUCGCUACUACCGAUUGAACGGUUUAGUGAGGGCCUCGGAUUGGUCUCGGCCCGCUCUUUACCGGGCGGCGCCGUUGGUCGAGAAGACGCUCGAACUUGAUCGUUUAGAGGAAGUAAAAGUCGUAACA